GACGAACGCUGGCGGCGUGCCUAAUACAUGCAAGUAGAACGCUGAAGGAGGAGCUUGCUUCUCUGGAUGAGUUGCGAACGGGUGAGUAACGCGUAGGUAACCUGCCUGGUAGCGGGGGAUAACUAUUGGAAACGAUAGCUAAUACCGCAUAAUAGUAGAUGUUGCAUGACAUUUGCUUAAAAGGUGCAAUUGCAUCACUACCAGAUGGCCCUGCGUUGUAUUAGCUAGUUGGUGGGGUAACGGCUCACCAAGGCGACGAUACAUAGCCGACCUGAGAGGGUGAUCGGCCACACUGGGACUGAGACACGGCCCAGACUCCUACGGGAGGCAGCAGUAGGGAAUCUUCGGCAAUGGACGGAAGUCUGACCGAGCAACGCCGCGGGAGUGAAGAAGGUUUUCGGAUCGUAAAGCUCGGUUGUAAGAGAAGAACGAGUGUGAGAGUGGAAAGUUCACACUGUGACGGUAGCUUACCAGAAAGGGACGGCUAACUACGUG
rnacentral:rRNA from 1 species